rnacentral:rRNA from 1 species
AGUGAACGCUGGCGGUAGGCCUAACACAUGCAAGUCGAACGGCAGCACAGUAAGAGCUUGCUCUUACGGGUGGCGAGUGGCGGACGGGAGAGGAAUAUAUCGGAAUCUACUUUUUCGUGGGGGAUAACGUAGGGAAGCUUACGCUAAUACCGCAUACGACCUACGGGUGAAAGCAGGGGAUAUUCGCACCUUGCGCGAUUGAAUGAGCCGAUGUUGGAUUAGCUAGUUGGCGGGGUAAAGGCCCACCAAGGCGAGGAUCGGUAGCUGGUCGGAGUGGAUGAUCGGCCACACGAGAGCGUGAACACGGACCAUACUCCUGAGAGAGGCAGCAGUGGGCAAUAUUGGACAAUGGUCGCAAGCCUGAUCCAGCCAUACCGCGUGUGUGAAGAAGGCCUUCGGGUUGUAAAGCCCUUUUUUUGGGAAAGAAAAGCAUCAGGUUAAUACCCCGCGGUUCUGACGGUACCCAAAGAAUAAGCACCGGCUAACUUCGUG